rnacentral:sRNA from 1 species
AGCAGCCGCGGUAAUUCCAGCUCCAAUAGCGUAUAUUAAAGUUGUUGCAGUUAAAAAGCUCGUAGUUGAAUUUCGGGGACCAAUAUGUUGGUCGUGCCUCGGUACGCACUGGCAUUAUUGGUUUCUCCCUUCUGACGAACUACGAUGCCAUUAAUUUGGCGUCGUAGGGAAUCAGGAUUGUUACUUUGAAAAAAAUUGAGUGUUUAAAGCAGGCUCGCGCUUGAAUACAUUAGCAUGGAAUAAUGAAAUAGGACGUUUGAUUCUAUUUUGUUGGUUUCUAGGAUCGACGUAAUGAUUAAUAGGGAUAGUUGGGGGCAUUAGUAUUCAAUUGUCAGAGUGAAAUUCUUGGAUUUAUUGAA